GCCAUAUGGAAACCAGGACCAGAACCUGACCAUGCUGGCACCCUAAUUUUGAACUUCCCAUCCUCUAAAACUAUGAAAAACUGGAUACUGGAGACACCAGCAACGCAAAAACGCCAAUGGAGGAGACCCAGAAAAGAAAAGCCCCAAGAAAAGCAUGCCCUCUCUAUCCAGGAAGCGGGCAGCCUAGCAAGACAGAAGCUUUUCGACAAUAACCACUCCACUCUAGCUAACCACCACAGAAAAAAACAGCAGCCCACCCCCACCAACCCUGCCAGCAAAGGCCAAGUGGUGAAGCUAGAUGUCCAUCCUCUGUAGGCUGUAAAAAGAAGUCCCAAUCUUCUGCUGGGGUAGAAACAGAGAAGGCUGAGUGGGGGAGCCACCCACAAAGAUAUCAGUGAAGACCAAGAGGAGACCAUUCAACUUCACUCCUAGGUUAAUUCUCUUCAAUAGUAGCUGCUACUGAAUUAAUCUGGCCAGGAGGCAAAGUAGGGCAAGAAUAGAGUGUAUUACAGAAAUUCACAAGAAAGUGCUAACUCGCCAUUUAAGUACUGUUUAUAGCUAGGUGUGGUGACUCAUGCCUGUAAUCUUAGCACUUUGGGAGGCAGGCGGAUUACUUGAGGCCAGGAGUUCGAGACCAGCCUAGCCAACAUGGGGAAACCUCAUCUCUACUAAAAACACAAAAAUCAGCCGGGCGUAGUGGCACAUGCCUGUAAUCCUAGCUACUUAGGAGGCUGAGGCACGAGAAUCACUUGAACCCAGGAGGUGGAGGUUAUAGUGAGCCAAGAUUGUGCCACUGCACUCCGGCCUAGGCAACAGAGUGAGACUGUCUCUCAAAAAAAAAAAAAAAGAAAGGAAAAAAAAGUACUGUUUAUAGAGCUCCUAUUGUUACAAGGCACUAGGCUGG
rnacentral:lncRNA from 10 species